UACGAAGGGGGCUAGCGUUGUUCGGAAUUACUGGGCGUAAAGCGCAUGUAGGCGGAUAUUUAAGUCAGGGGUGAAAUCCCGCAGCUCAACUGCGGAACUGCCUUUGAUACUGGGUAUCUUGAGUAUGGAAGAGGUGAGUGGAAUUCCGAGUGUAGAGGUGAAAUUCGUAGAUAUUUGGAGGAACACCAGUGGCGAAGGCGGCUCACUGGUCCAUUACUGACGCUGAGGUGCGAAAGCGUGGGGAGCAAACAGG
rnacentral:rRNA from 1 species